rnacentral:rRNA from 1 species
UGGCCUUGACAUACUAAGAACUUUCCAGAGAUGGAUUGGUGCCUUCGGGAACUUAGAUACAGGUGCUGCAUGGCUGUCGUCAGCUCGUGUCGUGAGAUGUUGGGUUAACGUCCGCAACGAGCGCAACCCUUUUCCUUAUUUGCCAGCGGGUAAUGCCGGGAACUUUAAGGAUACUGCCAGUGACAAACUGGAGGAAGGCGGGGACGACGUCAAGUCAUCAUGGCCCUUACGGCCAGGGCUACACACGUGCUACAAUGGUCGGUACAAAGGGUUGCUACCUCGCGAGAGGAUGCUAAUCUCAAAAAGCCGAUCGUAGUCCGGAUCGCAGUCUGCAACUCGACUGCGUGAAGUCGGAAUCGCUAGUAAUCGCGGAUCAGAAUGCCGCGGUGAAUACGUUCCCGGGCCUUGUACACACCGCCCGUCACACCAUGGGAGUUUGUUGCACCAGAAGUAGGUAGUCUAACCGCAAGGAGGACGCUUACCACGGUGUGGCCGAUGACUGGGGUGAAGUCGUAACAAGGUAAGCGUAGAUGA